AUAAAUCUAAUAUCUUGAUGAUAGAGAUACACAUAGGAAAACAUUUGGGUGUUCUUAAAUUUCUCUUAGUAGAUUUAACUAAUAAAAAUAAUUUUUAUACUGAUAUUUUCAACAUAGCAUCAUGUAACAACAUAAGAUAGGAUAAAAAUGGUUGCAUCCUCUUCCUCUCAUCGGACUUGCAAAGACUUUGCAGGUCCAAGUCGUUGCAGC
rnacentral:lncRNA from 1 species